AUUUUUUUUAAUUUUCAUUUUUUUGUCAUUUUCUUACUUUGCAAUAAUAAUACAUGUGGACAUAUUCACAAGAACCAUGUCAGCUUUCGAUUUCAUGUCAUUUCGUGUAUCUAUCACGGUGAUUAAUCUCUCAACGUCAUGUGUUAAAUUGUUAUAAAAUUGAAAAACUUAAGUUAAUGUUAAUGUGGAAAGUUCAAGGGAGCCA
rnacentral:misc_RNA from 1 species